UCCGGUUUGUCACCGGCAGUCUCACAUGAGUCCCCAACUAAAUGCUGGCAACAUGCGACGGGGGUUGCGCUCGUUGCGGGACUUAACCCAACAUCUCACGACACGAGCUGACGACAGCCAUGCACCACCUGUGAUCCUGCCCCGAAGGGAAGCCGUGUUUCCACGGCGGUCAGGAACAUGUCAAGCCCAGGUAAGGUGGGGAUGACGUUGAACGGUUGGUU
rnacentral:misc_RNA from 1 species